CUCUUCCUCCAGAGUCACCAUGUGAUCCCGGGAUGCCAAAAGAAGGCAUCCUAAAUAAGGUUUAGAUGUCUUUCACUUGGAAAUCAUGAAGGUCUGAUAUCCAUUGCUCUUAUAAAAUGCAUAGAACUAUAAACCAGCUUACUACAAGAAGAUUUAUUUUUCCCUCAUGGUCUCAGUUUAUCAUCUCUUGGCCUGUGGUGGGAAGCCAUGGGGAAGAUGAUGUAAUUGAACAUAGAUGCUCAUAUCCCUGUGAUCAAGAGUUGAGGGAAUGUGCUGGAGACAGCAACAUCCUUCAGGUGCCUGUAGAGGUAACAGAGAUGGACACAAAGGCUGCAUGAAUACAAAGUCAUAGGUACUAGAAACUUACCCAUCUUCCUACACAAAAAUAAUAUUGGCUCUUAACUGCUGAGACAUCUCCAAAGUCCUUAUAAUAUCUUAUUUUAUUUAUAUGAGUAUGCCCAUUUUUGUGUUUAUGUUUCUUUGUGAGUGUAUUCACAGAUGCCAGGACAGGGCAUGCAGCCCUUGGAGCUAGAUUUUGAGAGCACUCUGAUGGAGGUGCUGACAUCAAACCAUAGGCACUCAGGAUUGUUCAGUGUUUGUUCUUGAAUGCUGAACUGUAUCUCCAAAUCUGAGGUUGAAUAAUUUUGAAAAAUUUGUUCCAAGGGGUACGCAUGCAUGUCUGUCCAAAUGUAUAUGCCUGCAAUAAUUGCUUGCCAACUUUGAUUUUUCUAAUAUUUGCUUAAAAUUAUGCUCAGGUCUUGUACCCUUGUACCAGAAAUCACAAACCAAUACAAAUCAUUACAUUUCAGUGCAUUAUGUUGGGAGGUACAAGUUUCCCCCUUGUUCAUAACUCAAGAAGUAGAUUCCAUCUUUUGACUAAGGUAUUAUCUACCCAGAUUCUCUACUAGAAUAUUGUCCAUUCUUGUCACUUAGAAGUACAGUUUUAUGAUAUAGCUUGAGAUCAGACAAUUAUUUUAAUUAGUGGUGUGAAAUUUCAUGUAACAACCAGACCAAAUGAGAGAUGUAUACCCAAAAUUUAACAACACCCACUCAUAAGUGAACCACAAGAUUGGAUAACAUUGAUUAGGGACUUCUGUGGCUAUAGUGAUUAAAAACUCAUAGAUGACCAUUAGAAGUGGGUCAUCUUUAAAGGCUUAAGGGAUUAUCUUGAACAACUUUGCUUUUUGCUUCAGAAAAAAUUCCAUUUUAUAUUUUAAACAUAAUAUUAUUGAAUUAUAUGUUGGGGAAUUUUUACUUUUAACUUUUUUGUGUUUUGAUAUACAUUAUUAUUAAUGACCUUUGAUGUGCCAACAUGAAUAAAGGAAAUAUUUGCAAGGCUCCACCCCUAUAUGAAGACCUACAGAAACUAGUCACUGCUGAGAGAGGAAAAUUAAUCUUCUCAAUUGAUCAUAUCCAUAGAUGAUAUCACUAGUAGGCUAUGCAUUUUUAAGUGGUAAUCGGAAAUCACAUAUGUAAUAGCAGCAACUCUGAGGGGACACA